UACGUAGGGGGCAAGCGUUGUCCGGAAUCAUUGGGCGUAAAGAGCACGUAGGCGGUCCGGUAAGUCCGCUCUGAAAGUCCGGGGCUCAACCCCGGGAGGCGGGCGGAUACUGUCGGGCUAGAGUCCGGAAGAGGCGAGUGGAAUUCCUGGUGUAGCGGUGAAAUGCGCAGAUAUCAGGAGGAACACCAAUGGCGAAGGCAGCUCGCUGGGACGGUACUGACGCUGAGGCGCGAAAGCGUGGGGAGCAAACAGG
rnacentral:rRNA from 1 species